rnacentral:rRNA from 1 species
GCAAGUCGAGCGAUUUACUUCGGUAAAGAGCGGCGGACGGGUGAGUAACGCGUGGGUAACCUGCCCUAUACACACGGAUAACAUACCGAAAGGUAUGCUAAUACGAGAUGACAUAAGAGAUUCGCAUGGAUUUCUUAUCAAAGCUUUUGCGGUAUAGGAUGGACCCGCGUCUGAUUAGCUAGUUGGUAAGGUAACGGCUUACCAAGGCGACGAUCAGUAGCCGACCUGAGAGGGUGAUCGGCCACAUUGGAACUGAGACACGGUCCAAACUCCUACGGGAGGCAGCAGUGGGGAAUAUUGCACAAUGGGCGAAAGCCUGAUGCAGCAACGCCGCGUGAGCGAUGAAGGCCUUCGGGUCGUAAAGCUCUGUCCUCAAGGAAGAUAAUGACGGUACUUGAGGAGGAAGCCCCGGCUAACUACGUGCCAGCAGCCGCGGUAAUACGUAGGGGGCUAGCGUUAUCCGGAAUUACUGGGCGUAAAGGGUGCGUAGGUGGUUUCUUAAGUCAGAGGUGAAAGGCUACGGCUCAACCGUAGUAAGCCUUUGAAACUGAGAAACUUGAGUGCGGGAGAGGAGAGUAGAAUUCCUAGUGUAGCGGUGAAAUGCGUAGAUAUUAGGAGGAAUACCAGUUGCGAAGGCGGCUCUCUGGACUGUAACUGACACUGAGGCACGAAGCGUGGGGAGCAAACAGGAUUAGAUACCCUGGUAGUCCACGCCGUANACGAUGAGUACUAGCUGUCGGAGNUUACCCCCUUCGG